UACGAAGGGGACUAGCGUUGUUCGGAUUUACUGGGCGUAAAGCGCGCGUAGGCGGAUAUCUAAGUCAGGGGUGAAAUCCCAGGGCUCAACCCUGGAACUGCCUUUGAUACUGGAUGUCUGGAGAUCGGGAGAGGUGAGUGGAAUUCCGAGUGUAGAGGUGAAAUUCGUAGAUAUUCGGAGGAACACCAGAAGCGAAGGCGGCUCACUGGCCCGAUACUGACGCUGAGGCGCGAAAGCGUGGGGAGCAAACAGG
rnacentral:rRNA from 1 species